UUCUGACAAUUUCCCAGCUUUUGUCGUUGACAGGACAUCAAAAGGGUGGCAAACUAGAGCUGUUUUUUUUCUUCUCACCAGACUCCAAAAGUUUGCUGGACUUAACUGUUAAUUUGUACAUUCCUUAAUCAGUCCCUCCAGGAUUUCACAAUGUUUCCAAUUCACGCAAGUUCAACCAUUAUGCACGCCCCUAAACUUUGUCGUAUCCUCACAGUUUGACCGCGAACUUUGGCCAAUCAUUGACCUUUUUGCUUAUUGAAUACGUCCGAGCAGCACACAAACACAAUGCAACUGUUAACCAAUCAAAUGUCUCCCUGCAUCGCUCAACAUCUUCACUUCCUGGUUUACGUCAACAGAGAUUAUGUGAUGAUCCGUCAAAUUCACGUCUUGUCAUGUUUCUUUAGUUUGUGUUUAUUUCCUGUCAGCACUCUUAUUUUAGUUCCACUUCCUGCAUGUCUCCCGCAGCGCUCGUUUACCUCACCUGUCCAUGAUUGGCAGCCUGGCACACCUGGUUGCAGUUGCCUUGCAGUUGCCUUGCCCUCCAGUCAGGGCUCCAUAAUUGUUUCCUAUUUCCUGUUUCUUGUGUCAAUUAGAUUAGAUUAGAUUAGAUUAGAUUAGAUAGUACUUUAUUUAUUCCGUCAGGAGAGUUCCUUCAGGAAAAUUACAAUUAUCAGCACAAUCCCAUUCAAGAUCGAACAAACAUUACAGGGAGACAGAACAGGAUCGCUGACGGGUCUGCCGGCUUCCAGCGCCCCUUACAAAAAAGAUGAGAUACAGGUAAAAAAUAAAUGUAAAACAUCGGUCUUAGCCUGGGCCCUGGAGAGGGGGUGCCGACUGAGGCCAAGGGAAAAAAACAAAACAAAAAAAUAACUACUCAUAGCCAUAGUAGACAUCCCUCUUACAUGUUUGUAAGAGGGAAACAUCAGACAUCAAAGAACACAGAGGACAUUAAAGCAGCAGAUACAACCAGACACUUCUACAUACAGCUAUGAAUAAAAAGUCAAAUAAACAUAUACACUGUGGUGGCCUCUGCGGUGUUCCACGCCAUCGUCCGCUGGGGUGGAGGGAGCAUGGCCAGAGACAGGAGCAGACCAAACAAAGCAACCAACACAGCCGACUCCACUCUCGGCCAGUGUCCAGUCCGCAUGGAUGAGCGAUGAUACGUCCAAGGAGACUGAGGUGUCCGACACCUGCUCACCCAGCUAAGACACCGAGAAGCCUCUCCGUCCCAGCGCUCAGUGCUAGUUCCCCAGUCCUGUCACCUCAUCCGCAUCUCCUCCAGUCCCUCCAAACCUACUUCGGUGUGGCAGACACCCAGCAGCUGGUCUCCAUGGCCAAAAGGCUCCCGGGAGUUGUUGUUUUUUUUGUCAGUGUCAUUGUUCCCUACACUAUUUCCUUUUUGACAUCAAAGUCUUGUUUUCCUGUGCAACGCUUGCCAUCUGUGCAUCUUGGGGUUCAAGACCAACAGACCCUCACAGAAUUAUCCAGCCAAAUACAAACCCCCAGAGAUUUGGUGGGCUGUCUGGAGGCAACAAAUGGCUACUCGAGAGAAUGCUGCCGAGGAGAAGUGUACCGGCUUGGUCUCUAUGAUGGAUAAGCUCUGCAGCUUGUGUGCUGAAACUGGAACUGGAAUGACAACAACUGGAACUGGAGCGACAGGAGCUGGAGCGACAGGAACUGGAACUGGAGCGACUGGAACUGGAACUGGAGCUGGAACGAAAGGAACUGGAACUGGAGCAAGAGGAAUUGGAGCGAUUGUAACUAGAACUGGAGAGACUGAAACUGGAGUGGCUGGAACUGGAGCGACUGGAACUAAAACUGGAGCAACUGGAACUGGAACUGGAGCAACUGGCACUGGAGCGACUGGAACUGGAACUUGAACGACAGGAACUGGAACUGGUCUUGGCGCAGCGACUGGAGCUUGUCUUGGCGCAGCUACUGGAGCUUGUCUUGGCGCACUGACUGGAGCUUUUCUUGGUGCAGCCACUAGAGCUUGUCGAGGAAGUGCAGCGACUUUAGAUGCUAGCUGAAUAGCAGCAGGUUUAGACACUAGUCGAGAACUUGGCAGAGGUGAUCGAGCUGGGGGUUGCAGCUUGGCAUGCCGAUGGACUGCUGGUGGUGGACGAGCUCGAGUCUUAAGGGGCGCAGCUUGGCAUUCAGAAGGAGACUGUGGCUGACAAAAUCUAAAUUUCAGAAAAAAUUUCCUGAUAAUGUUUAAUUUUGGAAUUAAAGUCUUAAGGAGGUGGGUGACAAAGGGAAACAGAAGGAAAAAAAAUAAAAUUCUGGUCUGUGACUUCCUUUGAUGACGCCGGCGGAGUGAUGUCAUCGACGCGCGCCAGUUCAGUGACGUCAUCAGAGCUAGAGUGCAUUCUUCGACCGCCCAUGUAGUGAACUGUUCGGCAAAGUGAUGAAUCAGAUUACGAAACUUCGGCGGCGAGGAAUACUGCGCUGAUUGUGGCGUCCUGCUGUCCAGAGGAGGAGUUUGGGGGAAUGACGUGUCCUGGUGCCGAGGCGGAGCCUUUCUGGCUGGCUUCCGUCUUCGCCGGCGCGUCUCCAUCUCCUUAUUGUCAGCUGCUGGAGAACUGACACCCUGGCUUCUUCCUGUCACAAUUUGGGUUACAGCUCAAUGUGCGGUUUGUUCUCCCGGGAUGCAGAGCGGACAACUCCGGACAAAGCGUGAAGUUAGGUGUAUGGUUUAAUUUACAAAUUCAACAACACAAGACUUAGGAGAAAAGUGGACAUCGCACUGGAUGCUAGUUUAGCAUGAGCUAGGAGGCAAGCGAAAAAACAUUCGUAACAACAGCGUAAAGCAAAACAAAGAAGCCAGGACGGGUGACCGGCAAAGGCAGGCUUAAAUAGUGUCUCUGAUUGGAAACAAGGGAGCGUCCCGAACACAAGAGGCAGGUGAAAAUAAUUUGUAACCAUGGUAACAAACUCAAGAGGUGCACAAACAGGAACUGAAGGAGUCCAAAAUUAACCGAAAACACAAAACCUGAUCCGGACCACAGAUCAUGACAGUCAUGGACCCACCAGCUGUGGAACCUAGCUCUCCAACAGCUAAAAUUACUCAAUCAGUCCACAGUGAUGUUUUAGUGAAUUUAUUGAGGAAAACGAGUGACCAUGCCAGGAUUAAGAUGACUAAACUCAAAGGACAUGCUUUCUAAAUAUGAAAAUAAACAAACGGCAAGACAUUGUAAACAUGUAAUAUUCACGGCAAUGUUCCCAACAGUUCGUUCCAGACCGUCUGCUUCGUGUCGCCCUCACAGCCUGCUCUCCUUCAUAUCUCUUCCCCUGCUGUGAGGUAAGGGCCCUGUCAGUCACAUGAUGAUGCGUUGCGAUUUCAAAACAAGAUCACGUAUACCUCUCCAUAUAUUUUUUGGGGACAAAUGCCUCAUUCUCCAAUAAUGAAGUAUUGAAGAGGCACGCUUUCCCCCAGUACUACACCUAUGUAUGUGAUGUGUUUGUGAAGUGCCUCCCUCUUUUGAAUAUGGCCCCGCCUCCUCAGCCACCAAGUCAGAGUGCACUCAGCACAGGAGUGCAAACAUGAGGCGUGCAUUGGUGUGUGUGCUGAUGGCUGCUUGGAGCCUUGGAUGUGGCAGCCAGACGGAGCACCAGCCAGGAGAGAAUGUGUACGCCAUGAAAGGCGACUCAGUUACACUGGAGUGCAGCUAUGAAAACUCUGGAGGCAACGACUACAUCUUCUGGUACAAACAGGACGGGCAAGCGGCACCAAAGAUCAUCCUGAGCCUCUUCAUGAAGAGUCAGGGCAAGACUGAGAGCAGCUUUGAAAAGAGGUUCAGCUGCAGCAUCAAUGACACCGCCAAGCGAGCUCCUCUGAAGAUCCAAGACGUGCAGCUGAGCGACUCUGCAGUCUUCUACUGCGCCAUUCAGCCCACAAUGACUGACAUCUCUGCUGCACCUGCACAAAAACCUCUGUAGGCUCCUCAUCCCACUGUGGCUGUUUGAGAGCUGGUUCUGAGGAUGUUUUCACAACUUUUAUCGUUGUCAGGACAUGACAGGGAUGGCGAACUGGAGAUGUUUUUUUAUUCUCACCAGACUCCAAAAGUUUGCUGGGUUUAACCAAUGAUUUGUACAGCAGUCCCUCAAAGAUUUCGCGAUGUUGCCAAUUCACACAAAUUCAACCACUAUGCGUGCAUCUUAACUUUGUCCAAUCCCCCCAGUUUUGCCGCACAAUUUGGCCAAUCAUUACAUUACGAUAGCACAUAUACAUAAGCAUGAAAACACUCCUACAGACAUCACAUGUGGGACGGUUGAAUAAAUAGAAAAAUGUUUCAGUUAAACUGUGAAACUUACAGGCAAUAAAUGAUAAAUGAAGAA